UACGUAGGGGGCAAGCGUUGUCCGGAUUUAUUGGGCGUGAAGAGCGUGUAGGCGGCCGUGUAGGUCCGUUGUGAAAACUCGAGGCUCAACCUCGAGACGUCGAUGGAAACCACACGGCUAGAGUCCGGAAGAGGAGAGUGGAAUUCCUGGUGUAGCGGUGAAAUGCGCAGAUAUCAGGAAGAACACCUAUGGCGAAGGCAGCUCUCUGGGACGGUACUGACGCUGAGACGCGAAAGCGUGGGGAGCGAACAGG
rnacentral:rRNA from 1 species